GGUUUGAUCGUUUGGCUCCGUUGAACGCUGGCGGGAUGCUUUGCAAGUCGAACGGCAGCACGGACUUUCGGUCUGGUGGCAGGUGGCGAUGGGUGAGUAAUGUAUCGGAACGUGCCUAGUAGCGGGGGAUAACUACGCGAAGGCGUAGCUGUCUACGCAUACGCCCUUCGGGGGAAAGCGGGGGACCUUCGGGCCUCAUAUGAAACGACCGAUAUCCGGAUUAGCUAGUUGGUGGGGUAACGGCUCACCAAGGCGACGAUCCGUAGUUUGAGAGGACGACCAGCCACACUGGGACUGAGACACAGCCCAGACUCCUGCGGGAGGCAGCAGUGGGGAAUUUUGGACAAUGAAACCUAAUUCAGCCAUCCCGCGUGUGUGAUGAAGGCCUUCGGGUUGUAAAGCACUUUUGGCAGGAAAGAAACGGCACGGGAUAAUACCCCGUGCAACUGACGAUACCUGCAGAAUAAGCACCGGCUAACUACGUGCCAACAGCCGCGUCAUGCGUAGGGUGCAAGCGGGCAAUCGAAUUACUGGGCGUCCAUGCGCAGGCGGUUCGGAAAGAAAGAUGUGAAAUCCCCAGAGCUUAACUUUGGAACUGCAUUUUUAACUACCGAGCUAGAGUGUGUCGAGGAGGGAGGUGGAAUCCCGCGUGUAGCAGUGAAAUGCCUUAGAUGCGGAGAACACCAUUGGCGAAGGCAGCCUCCUGGGAUAGCUGCGGCGCUCACGCGAAAGCGUGGGGAGCAAACAGGAUUAGAUACCUGGUAGUCCACGCCUAAACGAUGUCAACUAGCUGUUGGGCCUUCCGGGCCUUGGUAGCGCAGCUAACAUGAAGUUGACCGCCUGGGGAGUACGGUCGCAAGAUUAAAACUCAAAGGAAUUGAAAGCGGGGACCCGCACAAGCGGUGGAUGAUGUGGAUUAAUUCGAUGCAACGCGAAAAACCUUACCUACCCUUGACAUGUCUGGAAUCCCGAAGAGAUUUGGGAGUGCUCAUAGAGAACCGGAACACAGAGUUAACAGCUGUCGUCAGCUCGUGUCGUGAGAUGUUGGGUUAAGUCCCGCAACGAGCGCAACCCUUGUCAUUGGACGCUGCAGAAAGAGGCCUCUGUGAGACUGCCGGUGACAAACCGGAGGAAGGUGGAGGAUGACGUCAGUCCUCAUGGCCCUUAUGGGUAGGGCUUCACGUCCACAAUGGUCAGGGACAGAGGGUCGCCAACCCGCGAGGGGAGCCAAUCCCAGAAACCCGAUCGUAGUCCGGAUCGCAGUCUGCAACUCGACUGCGUGAAGUCAGAUCCUCGCGGAUCAGCAUGUCGCGGUGAAUACGUUCCAGGUCUUGUACACACCGCCCGUCACACCAUGGGAGUGGGUUUACCAGAAGUAGUUAGCCUAACCGUAAGGGCGAUUACCACGGUAGGAUUCAUGACUGGGGUGAAGUCGUAACAAGGUAACUCUGUUGCGG
rnacentral:rRNA from 1 species